rnacentral:rRNA from 1 species
GAUGAACGCUGGCGGCGUGCCUAAUACAUGCAAGUCGAGCGAACAGACGAGAGUGCUUGCACUCUCUGACGUUAGCGGCGGACUGGUGAGUAACACGUGGGUAACCUACCUAUAAGACUGGGAUAACUUCGGGAAACCGGAGCUAAUACCGGAUAAUAUUUAGCUUCGCAUGAAGCAAUAGUGAAAGACGGUUCUGCUGUCACUUAUAGAUGGACCCGCGGUGUAUUAGCUAGUUGGUGAGGUAACGGCUCACCAAGGCAACGAUACAUAGCCGACCUGAGAGGGUGAUCGGCCACACUGGGACUGAGACACGGCCCAGACUCCUACGGGAGGCAGCAGUAGGGAAUCUUCCGCAAUGGACGAAAGUCUGACGGAGCAAUGCCGCGUGAGUGAAGAAGGUUUUCGGAUCGUAAAACUCUGUUGUAAGGGAAGAACAAGUACGUUAGUAACUGAACGUACCUUGACGGUACCUUACCAGAAAGCCACGGCUAACUACGUG